rnacentral:lncRNA from 1 species
UUCCUUGUAGGAGUAGGGGUUUUGUAAACCGGCUUGACAGGAAUGGGGAUGUUUUAAAGAGACAUUUGAGCCCCUCCCUUUGACUCUCAGACUAUGGAAACAAUGGUCCCCCGAGAAAUAGGAAUUUCCCCUGGAAUCUCAAGCUGGGAGAAGGAGACUGAAGCCUGGUGCCAGGCAGAGGACAAACUUUCUUUUGUUCUGGUUUUUGCUUUAAGAGAUAGAUAGGGUUUCUUUGAUUGUAGUCCUGGCUGUCCUGGAACUUAUUCUGUAGACCAGGCUGGUUUCAAACUCAGAGACUGGCCAGUCUCUGCCUCCCAAGUGCUGGGAUUAAAGGUGCCUCCUUGCAAG